UAGAUCAUUGUGACAUUCUGUUCUAUUUUUAAAUAUUAAGCCUCUUCUUUUUCUAUAUGCAAAUCUUAGCAUUAUGUAAACGACAGAAAAUAAAAAAUAUCACUGUAUAUUUUUACAUGUAUACUAGUGUGUUUCAGAAAAAAAGAAUUUACGAUUUUCCACCAUGGCACCCCGUAACAAUGUAUCUGACACCUUUUUCAUUAUUACUUCAAUCUCAUAUAAUAGUUAUAAUUUAGUACGAACUUUUAAUUAAGGAGAAUAAGAUUCCGGGUGAUACAUGAUCAUGAUCUUUGGGUUGAAUAUAAAUUUCAGGGAAGAAAUAGUAAAUUGAAAUGCUACAACGUGUUUCUUCACAAGUUCAAAAAAAACGGG